UGCAAUAAAGCUGGACUGUAAACCAGAAUAGUAAAAUAUCCACUUCAGUUUAAUAAAUCUGUGCAGUUACUUCUAUAGCAACAGAAUAACAUUGGAGUAGCUUAUUUGCGUAUUUCUUAUUACUUUAGUGGGAAGCAUUAUUUAGUCUUUAAAACAAAUCCCUGGCUGCAGCUAACAUUUUUUCAGUCAUGAGGGUGACACAACUGGCCAAAGCAAACAUUUUAAAGCCAGGACGAGCUACACUUUUGGCCUGGCAACACAAGGCUGAUCUGGACGAAGACACUAUUCAAAAGAUGUGCCAAGGAUUAACUGAAAUUGCAGCCUGAGUGUGAUUUAUAAGCCAUUCUGCGUCAUUUGACUGUGACAGGCUCUGACAAAUUAAUAUGCCUUCAGCCCUCUCCACUACUCUUUAAGGUAAUGGUUCCAUUAGCAGAUGUUUUUCGACAUCCACUCAGAUGCCGUUGGUCCCUCAUGAGAAAGAUAUUUUUUAUGCUCCUCAUUAUCGUAAUGAUGUGAACAUAUCUGAUUUGGUAAGUUGUGCUGCCUCACAACAGUUACGAAACCGAAAAAAAGUGGAAAUGUGGAAGCAGAACAAUGAACUCAAAACACAUUUGAGUGAAAAGUUAAAGAUUUUAUUUGGUUAAAUGAUACAACCAGCUGCAUGUCUUCUUAAUACAUCAUAAAAACGCAAAGAUCUAAUUGCGAAAAGGCUGCUGCAUUUGAUCAAGUAUUGCAGGAUGACUACAUGUUGGAAUGCCAUAAAAUGAGAUAAUGCACUCAGAUUUUCUAAUCGUGUUCUCUUGAGCAUUUUGACAUAUAGGAAAAAAGUGCAAAUCAGAGAAAGUGACACCAUAGAUCAGGCCCUAAACUUUAUUUGACUCGGUGUGUACGAACUGAGGCAGUAAUGAGAUCCCGAUGCUUGUUUCCUCAGAUGCUGGACCUAGUAGCACCGAUCAUGAAAGUGACCGUGGGCCCCAAAGUCACAUCCGACAGUCCGUAAAAUGCUGGGAGGUUUUCUGGAGACACCUGUUCAACAGCUCUCAGGGGCCCAUGCAUAGGACCCACUGCGAAGGCCAAAAAUUGUAGGCCUGUGUGAAGUUAUUUGAUGUAAUGCCAUCACAGGGUACUUUUUCCAGCCCAUUAAAUCCCUAUAAAUACACUGGAGUCUGUGGAUGUGGAAAGGCUGAACCAGUAUGAACUAUGAAGUUUCUUGCAAUACACUGUCCAAUUUAAAUCUGCUACUUGGAGAAGAGGAAGGUGGGAAGGAUUGAUCUGAAACACACACGCAUUGACCACGUAUUGAAUGCAUGCUUAGCUUGUUGUGCUGCCUCUUGUGGCCAAAUGCAGCUAAACAAACACACAUUGCUCAUGCAGCUUGUUUUCUGCAUUACCAUCAUUAUAAACAUUAUUUUAUGGAGACAUUAAACUUAUGGAGACAGUUUGGAAGGUACAACUCAUCUUGUUUCCAUUUUUUAAUAUCUGAGUACUAAAAGGAGGCAAAAUAUUUCAAAUGUUAGAUUAUAAAAUCUUGACUUUAAAACCAGGAUUUUUGUUUAAGCACAAACAAGCACAGAUAUUUGAACACAAAAUUCUUUGUGUUUAAAAUUUUCAUUUGCUUUCACAGAUAACCAUUUGUGAUAUUUCCUCAUGCCUCUGGAUGGUAACAGAAACCUGCUCUUCCACCCAAAGAAGUCUUAUUUCUCACAUAGGAAGAAAAAGAUGGAAUAAUUCCUGUGCGCUCUGCCCCACAUGUACAGUGCAAAAAUAUAAAAAAUAUCAACAUAUAUUAAUCCUGGACAUGUGGAUUACUUACAUAUACAGGAGAUAUGUGAUUUUCUAAAAAAAAAAACAAUUUAAAAAGAAAAAAGUACAAAAUAAAGCCUCAAGUGCCAAUUGCACUGUUAAUACAGCCCUAAAUUUAAGCAGUUUAUUUGAUACAGAUCAGAGUAUAAACAAUUAAACAAUUAUUAAGUAUUAAACAAUUUCUUAUAUUCUUAAAUUAAAAUUAAAUAUAACUGUUUCAAUCUGAAUUAUUUCAAAGUGUGUAUUUUACUGGAGUUGUCAAAUGGGCCAAAUGUAAGCAUGACAAGAGAAAACUUAGCAGAAAUAACCAUCUUCAAACAGCUUGCCAUUAGUAUUUUCAUGAGGGGAUGUUCCAUUACAGCAGCACACAACAAGGCUGAAAAACUCAUCAGAGAUGUAAAAGGAUAUGGAAUGAUCACUUGUUUCCACUGCUGCUAAAUGAAGGGGAGUUUGCAGUCGUAGUCCCCCUCAUGAGGAGCAGAUUGCUCAUCCUUCCUCUACCGUUUUAAACCAGUGAACAUAUCACAUAGUGAACGCAAUACCUUCAUAUGUCAAAGAAAGUACACAUCAAAAUCACUAAUGCUUUAAAAAAAUAUUAAAAAGUUACACUGUUCAACAGUUGAUCUUUAACUAAAAUAUGCUGCUCACUGUAACCUUUUGCAAUUUUAAAACAUUUUCAUUUCUAAAACGUAUCAGGUCUGGGACAAAAGGAGGUUUAAAUGAUGUUGAACAUGGAAUGUUUGUUGAUGCUGGACAAAAACUACUGGAAUUUUUAUGCAAAACCACCACAACAGCAUCCAGAUGGUGUUUAUUAACAUGAAAGAAAGGAUUCAUUUGGCCUUUUAUUGAUGUUAGUCUGGGAUACUUUCAUACACACUUUGGGCCUUUUAGUGUAACUGAGCAAUACUUAAACACCUCAUGCUAUCUGCCCUAUUGUUGUGGAUCAUAGCCAUCUCUUUAUUACCACAGUGUACCCUUCUUCUGAUGGUUACUUCCUGCUGGAUAACACACCAUGAAACAAAGCUCCUUAAGCUUAUUUCUUGAACAAGACGACGGGUUCACCGAACCCCAGUGGUUUCCACAGCCACCAGCUUGCAGUCCAAUAGACACUUUUGGAUACGGCGGACUGGAGGAUGUGUAGCCAACAAAUCUGUGUCAGCUCUGUGAUGCUUCAACAUCACAGAGCUGACUCUCAAAGAAAUGUUUCAGACUCUAUUGAAUUGUGACACAAAGCAUUAAGGCAGUUCUGAAGCCUUAAUGGGGUCCAACCCUGUGCUAGAAAAAAGUAAAAAAUUUUGUUUUAGGAAUUUUGUUUUAAUUAUACCUAGAAUUAAAAUUAUUAAUUAAAAUAAUUUUUAAAAAGCAUUUAAACUUCUACCAAGCAUUUACAUUGAAAUUCAAAUCUAUAAUUGAUCUCAAAAUGUUUUAAAUAUUAAAUUAUUUAUUAAUCGUCAUCAAUGUGGUCUAAUUUCUGGUCAUUAACUCAUUAAGGCUUCAAUAGCUAAAAGGCAUUGCGACUAAUCCUCAUGGACUGCUUUGACCUCUCUGUUAUUUCAGGUGCAGGUUGUGUGUAACGGAGUGUCUGGCCUCAUACCGAAGUGUUUACAUUUGUCCAACCCUGUGACACUCUUCCAUAAGCCUGCAGGACACAGCAUAUUACGGCAGCCGUCAUUGUGCAGAAAAAAAAUCCAGGUCAAAUAUGCAGGACAUCAACUCGCAGCCCAACACCUCUGGCUUUUGGGAUAUGAGUGUGGCUCCAAAGCCUGGCAAAGCAAAGAAGCAUAGAUACUUUCCAAAUGACGAGAGAAACUCCUGCCAUGGAAUAAAUGGCUUUCGUUAUUCCAACUGACAGACUUACUUAUUUCCCAGAACUCUCGCCUCCAGCAGGACCUAAGAUCCUUUGUUCAGGAACAAUGUAAGUUUUCUUUUUUGAAAAAAAGAAACACUUUGAAACUAUAACAUUUUUUAUGUGGUCUUUUUCUCUCUAUCCUCUUACUUUUGUCUGUGUACAUUAUGAUUAAUACACAUCAACAAAAAACUGGGCAAGCUUUAAUUUUUCAACUUCGAUGAGGUCUCUGUCAAUGGCAUCCACUUACCCUAUACUCUGAGAGUCAUCUUUCUCUGACGCACCUUCGGACCAGCCAGUUUGCAGGAGGUUUUACGUUGUUUUAUAAUGCUCCCUGCUUGCUAAAUCCUCAUCUCAGCAGAAAAUGGUGGUUUGCUGUGUUAUGCACUGACAUCCUCUGGCAGUGCUUUAUGAACCACCAAGGAACGUGCUCUGGGCUUGAAACCAGCUGCCCCUGCCAGGGCCAUACACCGAGUCUUCGGUUUGUGCCACGUUGAUGUUUCCAAGAACCUCAACUUAAAUGUCUCUGACACAGCUACAAGAGCAAAAUUUGACUUACGUUUUUUCCUUAAUAACUUUUUCCCAUGUACUUACAAGCAUGUUCUUAACCCUUUUACUCUUUGUGAGGCACAACGAGGGAAAAUCACACAAUCAGAUUAAUAAAGGAACAAUGUAAGCUCAGUUAUACAUGAAGUCUAAAUCAGGGCAAUGUCUACUUUCUGAUUAAAUUUGUCAAAGGUCAUCUUUUCAUCACCAUUUGUUAGAAAAUCCCAACGCAGUGAACACUUUAAGAGAUAUCGCACUCUAAUCUCAAAUAUUGCUUUGGGGCUCCAGUCAAGGCAUUUUUUAAUUACAGGUUUCCAGGGGCGGACUGGAAAAUGAGGUUUAUCGAGGAUUUCCCUUCUGGGUUGGUGGUUUAGCUCAUGGUGGAGCUGUUGUGCUCGUCCCGCAGUCGCACAGCACAUUGUUGUUCUGCAGCGCCAUGAUGCUUCAAACUACAAUGCCAGAUCAAAUGAAUUCUCUUCCCCAGACCUCCAGCACAUUGCUGGAGGUGUAUCUACAGUCCAGUAACUUGCCAUCAUCAGUGUGGAAAUGUGUGUGAAUGGGAAUUACUGAUUUCAUUGCAAAGUGUCUUUGAGUGUCCUAAUAAAUCGCUAUAUAAAUCUGA